CGAAAGGCGUAGUCGAUGGGAAACAGGUUAAUAUUCCUGUACUUGGUGUUACUGCGAAGGGGGGACGGAGAAGGCUAUGUUAGCCGGGCGACGGUUGUCCCGGUUUAAGCAUGUAGGCUGGUUGUCCAGGCAAAUCCGGAUAAUCAAGGCUGAGGUGUGAUGACGAGGCACUACGGUGCUGAAGUAACAAAUGCCCUGCUUCCAGGAAAAGCCUCUAAGCAUCAGGUAACAUUAAAUCGUACCCCAAACCGACACAGGUGGUCAGGUAGAGAAUACCAAGGCGCUUGAGAGAACUCGGGUGAAGGAACUAGGCAAAAUGGUGCCGUAACUUCGGGAGAAGGCACGCUGGUGUGUAGGUGAAGCCCCUGCGGGUGGAGCUGAGACCAGUCGAAGAUACCAGCUGGCUGCAACUGUUUAUUAAAAACACAGCACUGUGCAAACACGAAAGUGGACGUAUACGGUGUGACGCCUGCCCGGUGCCGGAAGGUUAAUUGAUGGGGUUAUCCGUAAGGAGAAGCUCUUGAUCGAAGCCCCGGUAAACGGCGGCCGUAACUAUAACGGUCCUAAGGUAGCGAAAUUCCUUGUCGGGUAAGUUCCGACCUGCACGAAUGGCGUAAUGAUGGCCAGGCUGUCUCCACCCGAGACUCAGUGAAAUUGAACUCGCUGUGAAGAUGCAGUGUACCCGCGGCAAGACGGAAAGACCCCGUGAACCUUUACUAUAGCUUGACACUGAACAUUGAGCCUUGAUGUGUAGGAUAGGUGGGAGGCUUUGAAGCGUGGACGCCAGUCUGCGUGGAGCCAACCUUGAAAUACCACCCUUUAAUGUUUGAUGUUCUAACGUUGGCCCCUGACCGGGGUUGCGGACAGUGUCUGGUGGGUAGUUUGACUGGGGCGGUCUCCUCCCAAAGCGUAACGGAGGAGCACGAAGGUUAGCUAAUCCUGGUCGGACAUCAGGAGGUUAGUGCAAUGGCAUAAGCUAGCUUGACUGCGAGCGUGACGGCGCGAGCAGGUGCGAAAGCAGGUCAUAGUGAUCCGGUGGUUCUGAAUGGAAGGGCCAUCGCUCAACGGAUAAAAGGUACUCCGGGGAUAACAGGCUGAUACCGCCCAAGAGUUCAUAUCGACGGCGGUGUUUGGCACCUCGAUGUCGGCUCAUCACAUCCUGGGGCUGAAGUAGGUCCCAAGGGUAUGGCUGUUCGCCAUUUAAAGUGGUACGCGAGCUGGGUUUAGAACGUCGUGAGACAGUUCGGUCCCUAUCUGCCGUGGGCGCUGGAGAAUUGAGGGGGGCUGCUCCUAGUACGAGAGGACCGGAGUGGACGCAUCACUGGUGUUCGGGUUGUCAUGCCAAUGGCACUGCCCGGUAGCUAAAUGCGGAAGAGAUAAGUGCUGAAAGCAUCUAAGCACGAAACUUGCCCCGAGAUGAGUUCUCCCUGAGACUUUAAGUCUCCUGAAGGAACGUUGAAGACGACGACGUUGAUAGGCCGGGUGUGUAAGCGCAGCGAUGCGUUGAGCUAACCGGUACUAAUGAACCGUGAGGCUUAACCUU
rnacentral:rRNA from 1 species